rnacentral:tRNA from 1 species
UUCUCAGUAGCUCAGUGGUAGAGGGGUCAUCUGUUAACCGAUUGGUCGUAGGUUCGAAUCCUACUUGGGGAG